AGCGAUCGCUGGCGGCAGGCCUAACACAUGCAAGUCGAACGAACCUUUCGGGGUUAGUGGCGGACGGGUGAGUAACACGUGGGAACGUGCCUUUAGGUUCGGAAUAACUCAGGGAAACUUGUGCUAAUACCGAAUGUGCCCUUCGGGGGAAAGAUUAAUCGCCUUUAGAGCGGCCCGCGUCUGAUUAGCUAGUUGGUUGAGGUAAUGGCUCACCAAGGCGACGAUCAGUAGCUGGUCUGAGAGGAUGAUCAGCCACAUUGGGACUGAGACACGGCCCAAACUCCUACGGGAGGCAGCAGUGGGGAAUCUUGCGCAAUGGGCGAAAGCCUGACGCAGCCAUGCCGCGUGAAUGAUGAAGGUCUUAGGAUUGUAAAAUUCUUUCACCGGGGACGAUAAUGACGGUACCCGGAGAAGAAGCCCCGGCUAACUUCGUG
rnacentral:rRNA from 1 species